rnacentral:rRNA from 1 species
UACGGGGGGGGCAAGCGUUGUUCGGAAUUACUGGGCGUAAAGGGCUCGUAGGCGGCCAACUAAGUCGGAUGUGAAAUCCCCAGGCUUAACUUGGGAACUGCAUCCGAUACUGGAUGGCUUGAAUCCGGGAGAGGGAUGCGGAAUUCCAGGUGUAGCGGUGAAAUGCGUAGAUAUCUGGAGGAACACCGGUGGCGAAGGCGGGUCUCUGGGCCGGAACUGACGCUAAGGAGCGAAAGCGUGGGGAGCGAACAGG